CAUUCCAGGUCAAAGGUUGUUGUGUCCUGGUCCUUUCAGCAGACCAACAACAGGUAGGCUACAGCUGAGAGAAGAAGGGCAGUGUUGUGAUUCAGACCGUCGUGUUACUGACGGGGCCGGGGUCGUCGUUCAGGGAGUCUGACGACCCGGUGAAGACACAGGCGAUGAACCGGCUCAGCAUCUACGUCACACCUGUUUCCUCCAUUUUGGAUGUGGGAUAAUUUCAGCUGGACUUGGACCACCAUCUUCAUGAAGACAUACUUUCGUCAUGAAGAGUACAACUCAAAGGCUCUGUUCAAUGAUUGCUCUGUUCACAACAGGAUUUGCAACCAGUGGCAACCUGGGCAUCGUUCCUCCAUCACGGGGCCCAUUCCACCCCGGUCCAGCAGAGGGCGCCUCCCCUCAUCCCGACACGCUACUAUUAAGGGAUUUACACCCUUUUAUUAAAAGGGACUUACAGUGAAAUCACGUCAGUAGCAGGUCAGGGAUCAGCAUCUUUCACAGGGAUACCAAGGUGGAGGGAAAAUCCUACCCCUUGUAUGUAAACAGCACAUCACUUACUAGCUGACUAUCUGAAGUCUUUUCUCCAAAAUCUGUUAUAUAUAAAGUCUACGUCAUAAAUAAAUAUGUAACUAUCAUGUAACUACUAUGAUAGUUAUACUAUAACUAUUACACUAUACAGGCCCUGCUGUCACAGCCAAUAGCCAAAUAUCCACAACAUUUGAGUAGAUUUCCUAUACGGUAGCAUAAAUCUCACUUUGGCUGUGGGACCUUUAAUGAAUCCUACCCUAUUACCCACCUUUUAUGGCCAUGAAGACCACAUUUGGUCACAUUAUGAAUAGUGAUGGAAAUCCACCUGUAGCAUGAACGCUGUUUCUUUUUACAUGAGCUGUUAAUGACCUUAAAGCCCCUCCAGGUCCCCUUAGAAGACUUACGCACUUUCUACUGCGACAUUAGUGUGUUUUUGUUAUGUAUGGACGGUGUGCGUGUGUGUGUGUGUGUGUGUGUGUGUGUGUGUGUGCGUUAUCCAGUAAUAACACAUUAACAUACAGUCUUCGAAACAGUUUGUAUUGUUCACUGAUUGCAGAAUACAUUAUUUUAUAUUAUCUAGGAAAACUUCUUAAAUUGUCAUGGUAUGAGUGGCUAGUCGGGGUGACAUCUCUCUCUCUCUCUCUCUCUCUCUCUCUCUCUCUCUCUCUCUCUCUCUCUCUCUCUCUCUCUCUC